GGAUCCCAUCAGAACUCCGCAGUUAAGCGUGCUUGGGCGAGAGUAGUACUAGGAUAGGUGACCUCCUGGGAAGUCCUCGUGUUGCACUU
rnacentral:rRNA from 1 species